GUGAGGAAUAUUGGACAAUGGGCGCAAGCCUGAUCCAGCCAUGCCGCGUGCAGGAAGACGCAUCUAUGGUGUGUAAACUGCUUUUGUACGGGAAGAAACACUCCCUCGUGAGGGAGCUUGACGGUACCGUAAGAAUAAGGAUCGGCUAACUCCGUGCCAGCAGCCACGGUAAUACGGAGGAUCCAAGCGUUAUCCGGAAUCAUUGGGUUUAAAGGGUCCGUAGGCGGUUUAAUAAGUCAGUGGUGAAAGCCCAUCGCUCAACGAUGGAACGGCCAUUGAUACUGUUAGACUUGAAUUACAAGGAAGUAACUAGAAUAUGUAGUGUAGCGGUGAAAUGCUUAGAUAUUACAUGGAAUACCAAUUGCGAAGGCAGGUUACUACUUGUGGAUUGACGCUGAUGGACGAAAGCGUGGGGAGCGAACAGGAUUAGAAACCCGUGUAGUCC
rnacentral:rRNA from 1 species